rnacentral:lncRNA from 1 species
AGACAUGAAAACCACAUGAUCUGCAGCCAAUAGAACUUUCAUUAAACCUCACGUUUUGGUGAGUAAAUGGAAGCAGAUCUGAACUAGCAAUAGAACUGUCUUUUGAAAAUUAUUUUGACUUUACCUUGUGUUAUCUUGGAAGAGAGAGAUUGAAUUCCUUGCAGGGCUGAGAGAACUGAUGUAACAAGUGUAUGGACAUGAGGCAACGUCGAAAGGAAAUAUAACUUGGAGAAAACAAAGGAAGAAUGUUACCGCAAGUAGCAGGAGUGAGAGCUCCAUCACCAAUGACCAUACAAGUUCCAAGUAAAACAACAAAAGUAAGAACAUUUUGAGCUGUGGAACUUUUCUCCAGGAACUUCUUAGUUUUUGAACGCCUAGAACUUCCACUCUCUUGGCUGUAAUAAGCCAUGCUCUCAUCAGAUUCCAUCCUAACGUUGUGGAUACUAAGUUUGCUUUGGAAAUUGAUAUGGCGACAGAGAUAUGAAUAGAGAGCAAAAGUACCGCCUUCUCCAUGAUCAUUAGCAUGGAGGACGAUGAAGACAUAUUUGACUAACACAAGCAACGUUAGAGUCCAAAAGAUUAGGCUGAAUGUCCCAAGUAAAUCAUCUUCAGUGAGAUUUGUCAAGCGAGUAGAGGAAAAUACAUUGACAGGAGAAGUGGCAAGGUCCCCAUAUACAACUCCAAGAGAUUGGUAAGCCAACAACAAGGUCUGCAUGGGUGGAUAUUCCUGAGAAAAAUACUCAAAAUCUCAAUAUCCUAUGAAGUGACUUAGAAGUUUCAAGGCAGUAACAAAAAAAAGUGUGAAGUUAUCAGAUUUUAUCGAAACUGGUAGUAGCACUAGCACACAUCGAGGGUAAAAUGAGAACAGGUUGCUUGUGAUGAUUUCAUCAUGUCCUAUGUCAACCUCCAGAUGCACCGGUCUGCAGGAACCAUGAUGACUUAAGGUGUUCAAAAGGAAGAGGUAGUUAUAACUUAAUCACAUGAAGGAAGUUAUCCCGAAAGACCUACACUCUCUUGAAAUCUAUGCAAACCUAGCAAAAGAUCGGGCACAAUGAAAGAAAAGGAUCUAUGUGGAUGAUACCAGUUAGUUGGUUUAAGCUUUAAUUAUGCUAAUAUGUUUACUUUCGAUCCCAAUGUUUGUUGGGAGUUUUUAGGUCUUGUUUGAGAUUUCAUGCGUGGGAAAUGCAGACAGCUUCUAGUGCUACAAAAACUAAUUCUUUAUUAUAUUUGAACUUAGACAAAGCUUAAUUGAGUGACAUGGACAAUGAGAAUUCAUAUAGCCGAGGAUUCACAUAGACGGUCUUAAAUAGAGGGACAGUGGAUAUUUCUUGGAAUAUUGAAGAUGAGAAAAAGUAAAGCUUACCUUAGCUUUGGUUAAGGGAGACUGGUAUGUCUGCAUAACUGUCAUGUAUGUUUCCAUAGCAGGUACUGGUUCUGGAACAACUCUCCUGCUGUUGUUACAAAGGUCAAUACGGUUACUAUCUUCAAGAUUGCUUCUACUUUCAAUAUCAUAGUUCUUUAUGCUGGAAUUGUUGCUUUUAACAUCUUCCAUGUUUUAAAUGCAGGACACUUCCAAUAUUCUAGUUAAGAAGUUGCCGUACAUUGUGUCAUGCUUAUAUAGCUUCAAAAAAGCCUCAAGGACUAUCGAUUUGCAAACAGGGAUAUCGAUUUGGUUGAUCCUAAGAAUAAAACAAAAGAUAUAAGUUAGUGCUGCAAAUUCUAAAAGCCACAAGUUGCUGGAGAGGGAGCAGGUAAAGGAACACAUCAUCAUAUAUAUAUUUUAGCAGUAAUUCCACCAAUUUGCAUACAAAUUUAUUUCAUCAUCCUGUUGGAGCACUUAUCGAUUCGCAAACAGGGAUAUGAAGAUAAAUUAUUGGUACAUUUUCUUGUUGACAUAUUAUAUUUUAUACCAAGGAGUGACUACACACUCUCACAAGUGACAUAUAACCAGAAAUUUUUAAAAAUCUGCCACUGUUGCUUUGUUGGAUGAACCUUAUCUAGUCUAGUCUAGUCUAGUUAAAUAAAUCAAGCUUAAAUUUUUGCAGUAAGUUGAUGACAAGUGAAAACUAGUAAAUCCUCUGAUUAAAAAGGUAAGCUUGAUUAAUGAACAAAAGCUCAUAUGCAAUUUUGCUGGCUUAUGAUUCUUUUGAUUAUGAAUUUUUUGUUUUAUUAUAGGUAUAUAUAUCAGUGUUGACACAUCUUGACCUAAGCUGGUCCAAUGUAAUGGUUAAGGUGUUGCACAACUUUCUUAAACUCGUGUGUUCAGUCCUAGCUAGCGACAUCAUUAUAUUUGCCUUUUUUUUACAUCUUUAAUAAAAA